GCCGGGGUGGCCCAACCUGGAAAGGCGGCGGACUGCAGAUCCGCUUUUUGCCGGUUCAAAUCCGGCCCCCGGCUCCA
rnacentral:tRNA from 1 species